rnacentral:lncRNA from 1 species
UUACCUGGCUGGCAGUUGGUACUGGUUUUGCUGGGAACUCUGCUGGAGUUGUUGAUCAGAGGGCCUCUGGUCUCCUUUAUAUGGCCUCUCUGGGAGAUUUGGACUUCUCACAGCAUGGCAUCUGAGUUCCAAGAGGGAGCAUUUCAAAAGGCAAAGGCUGUGUCCACCACCUGGGCAGAAGAAUGAAAGAUGCACAUGUGAUUCAAUUCGUUUCUUUCCAGAAUGGGGGAUAGUAGAGUUUUUGUGGACUCUCCUUUACGGUUUCAAGAGGCCCUUGAUCUGAGGAUGGGAGCUCCAAAGACGCAAAGGAGCUCCACUUCCCUGACUGCCUCCACUGGGGCAAAAGUGACAUUCAUCAGCUCCACGUGGAACUUUCCCAUGAAGCAAAUGAAUGGAGCAUGCCUUGGUCUCACCUCCAGACCAAGAAGAUUUAUAUUUGAACUUGCUACCCAGAUUUUGAAAUGAAUACUGGAGCCAGGAGGGUAUCAUGUUAAAUUCAUUGGCAGAACCAUGAGAAACUAUCACACACUUUUGCCCAUUUACAUUAAGUCCAAAUCAUCCAUCCCCAUACAAUUUUUCUCUGCUGUCCCUAUAGGAUUAAUAUAAAUCAUGGGAGAUAAUUUGCAGAGAAAGCUAUUUAAAAUUGCGGCAGAGCAGUUCAUUUGUUGCGAUAAUUCAC